UUUGCAGACGACUUAAAUA
rnacentral:snRNA from 1 species